CCUACGGGUGGCAGCAGUGGGGAAUAUUGCACAAUGGGGGGAACCCUGAUGCAGCGACGCCGCGUGAGUGAAGAAGUAUUUCGGUAUGUAAAGCUCUAUCAGCAGGGAAGAAAAUGACGGUACCUGCUGAAGAAGCCCCGGCUAACUACGUGCCAGCAGCCGCGGUAAUACGUAGGGGGCAAGCGUUAUCCGGAUUUACUGGGUGUAAAGGGAGCGUAGACGGCGGCGCAAGUCUGGAGUGAAAGGCCGGGGCCUAACCCCGGAACUGCUUUGGAAACUGUGUGGCUGGAGUGCAGGAGAGGUAAGUGGAAUUCCUAGUGUAGCGGUGAAAUGCGUAGAUAUUAGGAGGAACACCAGUGGCGAAGGCGGCUUACUGGACUGUAACUGACGUUGAGGCUCGAAAGCGUGGGGAGCAAACAGGAUUAGAUACCCGUGUAGUC
rnacentral:rRNA from 1 species